UUCGCAAUGCCCGAAAGGGUGACGAAGCGACGCCGCGUGUGGGAAGAAGGCCUUCGGGUUGUAAACCACUGUCGGGAGUUAAGAAAUGCAAGGGUGCUAACAGUAUCCUUGCUUGACUAAGGCUCCGGAGGAAGCCACGGCUAACUCUGUGCCAGCAGCCGCGGUAAUACAGAGGCGGCAAGCGUUGUUCGGAAUUAUUGGACGUAAAGAGCACGUAGGCGGCUAUGUAAGUCGGUUGUGAAAGCCUUCCGCUCAACGGAAGAACAGCAUCCGAUACUGCAUGGCUUGAGUGCGGGAGGGGAGACUGGAACUUCUGGUGGAGCGGUGAAAUGCGUAGAUAUCAGAAGGAACGCCGGCGGCGAAAGCGGCUCUCUGGCCCAUAACUGACGCUGAGUGUGCGAACACUAGGGGAGCAAACGGGAUUAGAUACCCCGGUAGUCCUAGCCGUAAACGAUGGGCACUAAGUAGAGGGGUUUUA
rnacentral:rRNA from 1 species